GACGAACGCUGGCGGCGUGCUUAACACAUCCAAGUCGAACGGAAAGGCCCUGCUUGCAGGGUACUCGAGUGGCGAACGGGUGAGUAACACGUGGGUGAUCUGCCCUGCACUUCGGGAUAAGCCUGGGAAACUGGGUCUAAUACCGGAUAGGAGCCAUUUUUAGUGUGAUGGUUGGAAAGUUUUUUCGGUGUAGGAUGAGCUCGCGGCCUAUCAGCUUGUUGGUGGGGUAAUGGCCUACCAAGGCGGCGACGGGUAGCCGGCCUGAGAGGGUGGACGGCCACAUUGGGACUGAGAUACGGCCCAGACUCCUACGGGAGGCAGCAGUGGGGAAUAUUGCACAAUGGGCGCAAGCCUGAUGCAGCGACGCCGCGUGGGGGAUGACGGCCUUCGGGUUGUAAACUCCUUUCGCUAGGGACGAAGCUUUUUGUGACGGUACCUAGAUAAGAAGCACCGGCUAACUACGUG
rnacentral:rRNA from 1 species